rnacentral:rRNA from 1 species
GAUGAACGCUGGCGGCGUGCCUAAUACAUGCAAGUCGAGCGAACGGACGAGAAGCUUGCUUCUCUGAUGUUAGCGGCGGACGGGUGAGUAACACGUGGAUAACCUACCUAUAAGACUGGGAUCACUUCGGGAAACCGGAGCUAAUACCGGAUAAUAUUUUGAACCGCAUGGGUCAAUAGUGAGAGACGGUGUUGCUGUCACUAAUAGAUGGAUCCGCGCUGCAUUGGCUAGUUGGUAAGGUAACGGGUUACCAAGGGGACGAUGCGUAGACGACCUAAGAGGCUGAUCGCCGACCCUGGAGGUGAGACACGGUCCAUGCGCCUGCGGUAGGCAGCAGUCUGGUAUCUUCCGCAGUGGUCGGAAGCAUGACGGAGCAACGCCGCGUGAGUUGUGACGGUCCUCGGAUCGUAAUACUCUGUUAUUGGUGGAGAACAGAUUUGUAAGGUGCUGUGGACUUCGUGACGGUACCUAAUCAGAAAGCCCCGGCUAACUACGUG